rnacentral:rRNA from 1 species
AUGGGGGAGCAACGGUUAGAGGAACGUGAGGCUAUGGGGGAGGAAGAAGAUGGCGCCCUCGUUCUUGCCGUCAGUUCGUCGCUCGAUCUGUGCCAGCCUGCUGCGUCAAAUGUGAUGGAUUCGCUGUGCGACGUCAGUGUUCCUUGUUCUUGCCGUCGUUGCGCUAGAUCUGAUGGUGCGUUCAUCAAUUUGUGGGUGCUUGUUCUUCUCUUCAGUUCGUCGCUCGAUCUGUGCCAGCCUGCUGCGUCUUCAUCCAGGGAUGUACAGGCUGGCCAAUGA